rnacentral:SRP_RNA from 1 species
GCUGGGUGUGGUGGCUCACGCCUGUAAUCCCAGCACUUUGGGAGGCCGAGGUGGGUGGAUCACCUGAGGUCAGGAGUUUGAGACUAGCCUGGCCAACAUGGUGAAACCCCGUCUCUA